CGAUGGUAGUGUGGGGUUUCCCCAUGCGAGAGUAGGUCAUCGUCAAGC
rnacentral:rRNA from 1 species